GGGCCGGCUUUAGCUCAGCGGUUCCUUCGACGUGCAUUGCCUAAGCCACUCUUUCGAGAAUGGUUCGAGACCCGCGGGCGCUCUCCAGCCCUUUU
ensembl:vault_RNA Vault Vault RNA